rnacentral:rRNA from 1 species
GACGAACGCUGGCGGCGUGCUUAACACAUGCAAGUCGAACGGAAAGGCCCCAGCGUGCUGGGGUACUCGAGUGGCGAACGGGUGAGUGACACGUGGGUGAUCUGCCCUGCACUUUGGGAUAAGCUUGGGAAACUGGGUCUAAUACCGAAUAUGACCACUCCUUGGAGGUUGUGGUGGAAAGCUUUUGCGGUGUGGGAUGAGCCUGCGGCCUAUCAGCUUGUUGGUGGGGUAAAGGCCUACCAAGGCGGCAACGGGUAUCCGGCCUGGGCGGGGGGACGGAAACAAGGGGACGGAGAUACGGCCCAGACUCCUACGGGAGGCAGCAGUGGGGAAUAUUGCACAAUGGGCGCAAGCCUGAUGCAGCGACGCCGCGUGGGGGAUGAAGGCCUUCGGGUUGUAAACUCCUUUCGCUAUCGACGAAGCCACUUGUGGUGACGGUAGGUAGAUAAGAAGCACCGGCUAACUACGUGCCAGCAGCCGCCGUAA